AUACAGUUGUUUUUUAAAACUUUAGAAUUCUCAUCUUACUUUAUUUAGGAGUAUUUUCGUUAACACCAGCUUUUUCCUCAGUCAACAAAAAAAAUUUAAAACAACUGCAGUGGUCCUCAUAUAAUCUUGUAUUUGCUAACGGUAUGAAUUUUUCUAGUUUUCAAAAUUAUCAUAUUGACAUCUGCAUUUUUGUGUGCAUACAAACAGAAAUGUUUAACUUUCAGUUACUAAAAGCAGAUAAGAAUUGGUUUUAUUUCUUAAACUGUCAAUUACUCAGAUAACUCUAAGCUAAGAAGCCUGAUCAUUUUCUAAUUCUAAGCCAAGAAAGUCCUGUUUUUUCCCAUUGAAAAAUAAACCACUUUUUUUUUAAGGCAUACUUAAAGGAUUUCCAGCUUCUGAUACUUGAUUUUGAACUCUACAUCAUGUAUUAUUAUUACAAAACUGUUUCUGCAUGUAAUCACAUUAAUUUACUUACGUCAUAUACAAAACAGUGAGGAAAUUAAGACUAUAAACAACUUUGCAACAUGGAUGUAAUAAAAGUUUCAAUACUUUGAAACAAAAACUAAUGCUGUUAAAUAAAAACUUAAGUUGAAAUUCAAGCGUGUGUAUAUAACUGCUUAAAUGUAAAUGCAUUAAGUCAAAUACAAAAAUUGUUUUUUCUUAAAUGCAUAAUUAUUUAUUGCCAUGACAAAUUGUUUGGUCCAAAAUGAAAGCUGUAUUCUGAAUGAGAUUUGCCCUUAAAUUGAAGAGGUAAUUAAUGAAACGUCCGUGCAAAAUAAAGUGCAAGCAGUGUAAA
rnacentral:lncRNA from 1 species